rnacentral:rRNA from 1 species
GGAAUUUUGGACAAUGGGCGCAAGCCUGAUCCAGCAAUGCCGCGUGAGUGAAGAAGGCCUUCGGGUUGUAAAGCUCUUUUGUCAGGGAAGAAACGGUGCUUUCUAAUACAGAGCGCUAAUGACGGUACCUGAAGAAUAAGCACCGGCUAACUACGUGCCAGCAGCCGCGGUAAUACGUAGGGUGCAAGCGUUAAUCGGAAUUACUGGGCGUAAAGCGUGCGCAGGCGGUUUUGUAAGACUGUCGUGAAAUCCCCGGGCUCAACCUGGGAAUGGCGAUGGUGACUGCAAGGCUAGAGUUUGGCAGAGGGGGGUAGAAUUCCACGUGUAGCAGUGAAAUGCGUAGAUAUGUGGAGGAACACCGAUGGCGAAGGCAGCCCCCUGGGUCAAAACUGACGCUCAUGCACGAAAGCGUGGGGAGCAAACAGGAUUAGAUACCCGAG